rnacentral:rRNA from 1 species
GAUGAACGCUGGCGGCGUGCCUAAUACAUGCAAGUCGAGCGAACAGACGAGGAGCUUGCUCCUCUGACGUUAGCGGCGGACGGGUGAGUAACACGUGGAUAACCUACCUAUAAGACUGGGAUAACUUCGGGAAACCGGAGCUAAUACCGGAUAACAUGUUGAACCGCAUGGUUCAACAGUGAAAGACGGUUUUGCUGUCACUUAUAGAUGGAUCCGCGUCGCAUUAGCUAGUUGGUAAGGUAACGGCUUACCAAGGCAACGAUGCGUAGCCGACCUGAGAGGGUGAUCGGCCACACUGGAACUGAGACACGGUCCAGACUCCUACGGGAGGCAGCAGUAGGGAAUCUUCCGCAAUGGGCGAAAGCCUGACGGAGCAACGCCGCAUGAGUGAAGAAGGUCUUCGGAUCGUAAAACUCUGUUAUUAGGGAAGAACAAAUGUGUAAGUAACUAUGCACGUCUUGACGGUACCUAAUCAGAAAGCCACGGCUAACUACGUG